ensembl:misc_RNA Metazoa_SRP Metazoan signal recognition particle RNA
GCCAGGCAUGGUAGUUCUUGCCUGUGAUCCUAGCUACUCAGGAGGCUGAGGUGGGUGGAAUGCUUGAGCCCAGGAGUUCAGGGGUGCAGUGAGCUAUGAUUGUGCCACUGCCCUUCAGCCUGGGCCACAGAGCAAGACUCCAUUUUUU